GACGAACGCUGGCGGCGUGCCUAAUACAUGCAAGUCGAGCGGACUGAAUGGGAGCUUGCUCUUGUUCGGUCAGCGGCGGACGGGUGAGUAACACGUGGGCAACCUGCCCGCAAGACCGGGAUAACUCCGGGAAACCGGAGCUAAUACCGGAUAACACCGAAGACCGCAUGGUCUUUGGUUGAAAGGCGGCGCACGCUGCCACUUGCGGAUGGGCCCGCGGCGCAUUAGCUAGUUGGUGAGGUAACGGCUCACCAAGGCGACGAUGCGUAGCCGGCCUGAGAGGGUGACCGGCCACACUGGGACUGAGACACGGCCCAGACUCCUACGGGAGGCAGCAGUAGGGAAUCUUCCGCAAUGGGCGAAAGCCUGACGGAGCGACGCCGCGGGAGCGAAGAAGGCCUUCGGGUCGUAAAGCUCUGUUGUGAGGGACGAAGGAGCGCCGUUUGAAGAAGGCGGCGCGGUGACGGUACCUCACGAGGAAGCCCCGGCUAACUACGUG
rnacentral:rRNA from 1 species